UGCGGAAGGAUCAUUACCUAGAGUUGUAGGCUUUAUGCGGGAGGCUUUGCCUGCUAUCUCUUACCCAUGUCUUUUGAGUACCUUACGUUUCCUCGGUGGGUUCGCCCACCGAUUGGACAAACUUAAACCCUUUGCAGUUGAAAUCAGCGUCUGAAAAAACUUAAUAGUUACAACUUUCAACAACGGAUCUCUUGGUUCUGGCAUCGAUGAAGAACGCAGCGAAAUGCGAUAAGUAGUGUGAAUUGCAGAAUUCAGUGAAUCAUCGAAUCUUUGAACGCACAUUGCGCCCCUUGGUAUUCCAUGGGGCAUGCCUGUUCGAGCGUCAUUUGUACCUUCAAGCUCUGCUUGGUGUUGGGUGUUUGUCUCCUGUAGACUCGCCUUAAAACAAUUGGCAGCCGGCGUAUUGAUUUCGGAGCGCAGUACAUCUCGCGCUUUGCACUCAUAACGACGACAUCCAAAAGUACAUUUUUACACUCUUGACCUCGGAUCAGGUAGGGAUA
rnacentral:rRNA from 1 species